rnacentral:rRNA from 1 species
UACGUAGGCAGCAAGCGUUUGUUCGGAGUUACUGGGCGUAAAGGGUGUGUAGGCGGUCUUCUAAGUUUGGUGUGAAAUCUCCCGGCUCAACUGGGAGGGUGCGCCGAAAACUGGGAGGCUAGAGUGCGGGAUGGGAGAGUGGAAUUCCUGGUGUAGCGGUGAAAUGCGUAGAUAUCAGGAGGAACACCUGUGGUGUAGACGGCUCUCUGGACCGCAACUGACGCUGAGACACGAAAACGUGGGUAGCAAACAGG